rnacentral:rRNA from 1 species
CAGCAGCCGCGGUAAUACAGAGGGUGCGAGCGUUAAUCGGAUUUACUGGGCGUAAAGCGUGCGUAGGCGGCUUUUUAAGUCGGAUGUGAAAUCCCUGAGCUUAACUUAGGAAUUGCAUUCGAUACUGGGAAGCUAGAGUAUGGGAGAGGAUGGUGGAAUUCCCGGUGUAGCGGUGAAAUGCGUAGAGAUCGGGAGGAACAUCAGUGGCGAAGGCGGCCAUCUGGGACAACACUGACGCUGAGGCACGAAAGCGUGGGGAGCAAACAGGAUUAGAUACCCGGGUAGUCCCUGUCUCUUAUAC